rnacentral:rRNA from 1 species
AUGAACGCUGGCGGCGUGCCUAAUACCUGCCAGUCGAGCGAACAGACGAGGAGCUUGCUCCUCUGACGUUAGCGGCGGACGGGUGAGUAACACGUGGAUAACCUACCUAUAAGACUGGGAUAACUUCGGGAAACCGGAGCUAAUACCGGAUAAUAUAUUGAACCGCAUGGUUCAAUAGUGAAAGACGGUUUUGCUGUCACUUAUAGAUGGAUCCGCGCCGCAUUAGCUAGUUGGUAAGGUAACGGCUUACCAAGGCAACGAUGCGUAGCCGACCUGAGAGGGUGGGCCGCAACAAGAGAGAGGAACCCCGGACGAGCCAACGGGGGGGGGCAGAAGGGGGUCUUCGACCGAAGGGGGAAAACGCCUGAAGGAGCACCGCGGGGGAGAGAAAAAUGUUGUGGGCCUAAAAAACCUUUUUUAUGGGAAAAAAAAAAAUGUAUAAGAAACACGCCACGUCAGGGGGCCCGAAAAAAAAAACACAACGCAUACCAUC